rnacentral:rRNA from 1 species
GAUGAACGCUGGCGGCGUGCCUAAUACAUGCAAGUCGAGCGAACGGACGAGAAGCUUGCUUCUCUGACGUUAGCGGCGGACGGGUGAGUAACACGUGGAUAACCUACCUAUAAGACUGGGAUAACUUCGGGAAACCGGAGCUAACACCGGAUGAUAUUUUGAACCGCAUGGUUCAAAAGUGAAAGACGGUCUUGCUGUCACUUAUAGAUGGAUCCGCGCUGCAUUAGCUAGUUGGUAAGGUAACGGCUUACCAAGGCAACGAUGCAUAGCCGACCUGAGAGGGUGAUCGGCCACACUGGAACUGAGACACGGUCCAGACUCCUACGGGAGGCAGCAGUAGGGAAUCUUCCGCAAAGGGCGAAAGCCUGACGGAGCAACGCCGCGUGAGUGAUGAAGGUCUUCGGAUCGUAAAACUCUGUUAUUAGGGAAGAACAUAUGUGUAAGUAACUGUGCACAUCUUGACGGUACCUAAUCAGAAAGCCACGGCUAACUACGUG